GACGUAGGGCGCGAGCGUUGUCCGGAUUUAUUGGGCGUAAAGAGCUCGUAGGCGGCUUGUCGCGUCGUUCGUGAAAACCUGCAGCUCAACUGCAGGCUUGCGGUCGAUACGGGCAGGCUCGAGUUCGGUAGGGGAGACUGGAAUUCCUGGUGUAGCGGUGAAAUGCGUAGAUAUCUGGAGGAACACCGGUGGCGAAGGCGGCAUCCUGGACCGAGAUUGACGCUGAGGCGCGAAAGCCAGGGGAGCAAACGGG
rnacentral:rRNA from 1 species